rnacentral:rRNA from 1 species
UACGUAGGGGGCAAGCGUUGUCCGGAUUUAUUGGGCGUAAAGAGCGUGUAGGCGGCCAGGUAGGUCCGCUGUGAAAACUCGAGGCUCAACCUCGAGAUGUCGGCGGAAACCAUCUGGCUAGAGUCCGGAAGAGGAGAGUGGAAUUCCUGGUGUAUCGGUGAAAUGCGCAGAUAUCAGGAAGAACACCCGUGGCGAAGGCGGCUCUCUGGGACGGUACUGACGCUGAGACGCGAAAGCGUGGGGAGCGAACAGG